CUUCAGAAGCUGCACACUCCGGAUCGCUUUUACAGGCUGCAGCUCUCGCCGGGCAAAUAUUCUGCUCCAAUAGCGUCGGACAUCGUCCCGUCACGUGGAGCGCUGAGUGCUCUGCGAAAACGACGUAUCAUGAAUGUUUUUUGGAUUCUUUGGACGAUCGACAAACCUGAAAUAUUCUACUCACCGGCUGUAACGGAAUGCGAUGAAAACAAGGCAAAGAUCUGGAAGGUUAAUAUCAACACCCACACAACGGCGCAGGCAUUUCCCCCGCUGCAAAAGUCACGGCGCAUCCUCAACACAUCAAGGGGAUUUUUAAUACCUCACUAUUCUGAAAGAAGAGGAAACACGUUUCAUCGUUAGCCUCUCCCUCCUUCUCUCUCACUUUGUCGUCGUGGGGAAAAUACGAGAACGGUGAACCGCUGCUCCUGGAGGAAUUGGCCCCGUGGAUGCGUGAAUGACCAUCGGGUCCAGGAUCUAUAGAUCUAGUCACCAUUCGUCGGAAGUUUCUUCUCCGAAACUCGAGUCUAUCGGGGUGAAGGUUACGGCCAUGAAUCGUCUCGACGAUGGAAUUAACCUGGAUUAGACUCGGCCAAAAAUGAUCGACGAGGCAAAACUGAUCUAAUUUCAAAAAUGUCGGAUAAAUCACUGCUGCAGCAGGCGAGGCGAAGAGAAUCCGUUGGCUGCGUUGGACGAAGAACGGGUUCCAGUCUUGGCGGUUGAACCCGCUCUCAUGCAGGCGGCGGCAUUCCGAAACGCCUGAAGGCGUUUCUUCGUCGAGGCCCAGUGACCGACAUUCGGUCGUUCGUGACGCGACGCCUCCUCUCCACCUCUCUUUCUCUCUCUCUCUCUCUCUCUCUCUGAGGCAGGUUCUUCACCUGCAUCUCGUCGCCGUCCCACGUCGGAAUCAUCGUACCUCUUAUGAUUGUUUUGUUUUUGGGUACUUUUUUUCAACAUUUUUCUCCCCCAAUUUAUAUUCUAAUUUUAAAAUUCCUCGCCCCGAAGAACUUUUUAUACAUUACAUUCCGACCUAUCUGUUUUAUUCAUGUCUCUCUUCGGGAAUCAAAGAGAAAGAGAGUAAGUGCGUGUGUGUGUGUGAGAGAGAGAGAGCAUCGCUGAUAAGAACCUGUAUCGAGGGAUUUUCAAACGACGGGGAAAAGGAGGGGAGGCUCCAGCCGAACGGUGGGAGCGAGAAGACGCCGUGAAAUCCGUGAUCGAAGGUCUAGGUCGCGGAGCUUCCUUGUACCGGUGAUUUCAACGCGCCUUGACACACUGCACUCGGUUCCGGUACACCUAAUUAUGAGUCAUUUUUCGGCUGUUCACCCACUAAAAAUUCCGCUUCUUGUUACGUGCUAAUUUCGUCGAUAUCUCUUUUUCUCUCUCUGCCGUUUUGUGUCGAUCUUUUACCAAAUUACCAAUGAUUAAUAUUGAAAUAAAUAAUCGAAGCUUGAGAUAGUAUAUAUGUAUCGUGCGUUUGUCCCUAAGUAUGUUUCGAAUUGUCUGUCUAAACGCAUUGCAAUGUUCACACACCUUCCUCAAUUAGACGUAGAAUAGAAAAAGUUUAAAAAGUCCAUAAGCAGUGCGAAUUUUUUGCACGCUUGCCAGUUUUCUGAUACAAAAAUCAAUCCUUACCUCACGCGUUAUCAAUAAUUGGAUCGCACGAAUUGGGGUUGAUUAUAAUUUUGUAAUUUUUCUUUGUUGGUAAAAUUGUGUGAAAUAUCUAUAAGAAAACAGCGGACCUCACGUUGAAAAAAAAAAACCACUAAUAAUCAGGCAAUAUCAAUAUUAUUGAUGAUACAC